rnacentral:tRNA from 1 species
ACCUGGCUGGCUCAGUUGGUAGAGCAUGUGACUCUUGAUCUCAGGGUCGUGAGUUCAAGCCCUAUGUUGGGCA